AUUGAACGCUGGCGGCAUGCUUUACACAUGCAAGUCGAACGGUAACAGGCCGCAAGGUGCUGACGAGUGGCGAACGGGUGAGUAAUGCAUCGGAACGUGCCCAGUCGUGGGGGAUAACGCAGCGGAAGCUGCGCUAAUACCGCAUACGAUCUCUGGAUGAAAGCGGGGGGCCGAAAGGCCUCGCGCGAUUGGAGCGGCCGAUGUCAGAUUAGGUAGUUGGGGGGGUAAAGGCCCACCAAGCCAACGAUCUGUAGCUGGUCUGAGAGGACGACCAGCCACACUGGGACUGAGACACGGCCCAGACUCCUACGGGAGGCAGCAGUGGGGAAUUUUGGACAAUGGGCGCAAGCCUGAUCCAGCAAUGCCGCGUGCAGGAAGAAGGCCUUCGGGUUGUAAACUGCUUUUGUACGGAACGAAACGGUCCGGGUUAAUACCCUGGGCUAAUGACGGUACCGUAAGAAUAAGCACCGGCUAACUACGUGCCAGCCGCCGCAGUAACAC
rnacentral:rRNA from 1 species